AUCAACAAAAUUGUCUAAAGGUUUUUUAUUUAAAGGAUGCACAUAUUUCAGAGUCCCUUGAAGUGCUUUAAAGGUAACAGAGUGCUGCAAUGUACCGAAAUGCAGAAGCCAAUAUAUGCACAACAAGGCCCCAUAUGAAGCUGGAAUCUACAGACACAUGGAGACAUACUGGCAAUGCACACAAAAUGCUGGAGGAACUCAGCAGGCCAGGCAGCAUCUAUGGAAAAGAGUCGACGUUUUGGGCCGAGACCCUUCAUCAGGACUCUUGUCUUAUCUUGCCGGAGUAAAGGAUAGGCAGACAAUUGCAAAAAUAAGCAUAAAUCUGCAAAUGCUUACAGCAGCAUUAUAACUGUAUCACAUGAAUGAUCAGGAAAAUGACACAAAUCUUUAAAUCACUUAAAUCUGCAAUAUUCUCAUAUUUAAUCAAUAUAGAGGAAAAACACAGACAGGAUAUGGUUUGUGGUCAUAUGAUAUUGCGAUGUCUUUUUCCACAGAUAUUUAUAAUGACCUUGAAUCUGUCAGUAUAGCCUUUACUGUAGGCUGCAGACUGGAGUGGGAACCAACAACCUUCCAAUUUUAAGAUGCAGCCUCACUCACAGAGGGAAUUGAUACAAAGUCACCCCCUCUUCUCAUAUACAGCUACUGAUAGAGAUCUGUCUAGCAGGCAUGAUUUCAGUGCAGGGUCAGAGAACAUUUGACCUCAGUUGAUCUGGGAUUCUCUCCUUGUUAACUAAACAGGUAAGGAUUUGGCAGGAAUACAAAGAGAAGCUAUUGGCAUUCUACUGGGUAAGCAGAUUCAAGGUCAGUCUUUUAAAUAAACAACUUUAUAACAUGAAAAUACCCUGAUCAGGGUAGCUAUCAAAUGUGGCAUUUAAAACAACAAAGUAAACUGUGGAUUAUGUGUGGGCUGUGUGAUAAUCUAUUAAGAUAGGCACAAGGAAUGUGAUAUAUUAACCCGCCCUCAUUAAAGUAAGAUGACAAUAUGUUGACCUUUUACUGCCUGAAAAUAAUAUUCAUGCAUCUUGCAGCCAGUGCUGUUUGAAAGGCCGCCAUCCCCUGCUUUAGACACCAGUGCCCCUGACUACAUCAUGGCUUUAGUGCUGAGGUCUAAGCAAUGCUGGCGUGAGGUAAAUCUGAUCCUCCAGCUCUGCACAAUUCAGUAUGUGGUGCCAACAUCCUCAUUGAUAAAGUAUUUGAUGAGAUGUGCCCACACUUGUUACGAAUGGUAUUUUUGUACCCAGCCAUCUUCUUUUGUGUAAGGUUUGAUGCCAAACAGUGGAGUUUUUUUCCACUUGAUUGUUGUUUUUCUGUCAAUGGCAGGUACUUUCAACUCACAUCUGGAAUUUCUGCUUUGUUUGGACCAAACCUAUGAUUGGAUAUGGAGAUAAAUGGUCUUGGUGGAACUGAUCAUUGAUGCUCAGGCUAUUGGUGGGUGAAUGCCUCUUAGCAGCAUUGCCUGAGAAUCAUAGAAUCGUAGAGCACAGAAACAGGCUUUAAAGGCAAUUGAGUCUCUGCCAACCAUCUGCCACCCAUUUACAACAGUCUCAGUUUGUAAAAGCUGAACUUCAGUACAUGGUCAGCUCGGCCAGUGGUGAUGCUACUCAUCUUGAUGGACGUUGAUGUCUCGUGCCCGGAGUCCAUUAUUGACCUCACUAAUUUCAGUUCUUCUGCUUUAGAAGUUCCCACCCUGGAGUCCAUAGACCUCUUGCUUAAUGGUAUUGGUCCACGGCAUAAAAAAGGUUGUGAAUCCCUGUUCUAUGUAUUCAGGGAACACUGAUUUAUCAGCUGAGGGAAGACAGUUUGUGGUAGUCAAUAACUGGCUUCUUUGCCCAUGUGUGACCUGAAGUUUUGAUAUGGAGCUAAUAGGGAAACUAAGGACUACUUCCUCUUCUAUGUAUGUCAUUUGGUUGCUGCAAGUAACUGUUCCAUUUCAAAAUGGCCUUGGUCAAUGCUGGGUGACCUGCCCAGUUUUACCAUUUUUUCUGUUUUGAUUGUGAUGGUACUGCUGCAUGAUUGCUGGCCACUUCAGAUGGCAGUUUAGGGUAAGCCUUUAUGCUGUGGGUCCAGAGUUGCAUGUUACUCAGCUCAGGACAGGGUGGCAGAUAUCUGCCCCUGAAGAGCAUUACUGAACCAUUUGGUCUCUGCCACAAUCCAGUCAUUUCCUGGUCUCCAUUACUGGAAGUGGUCAUUUUUUAAACCCAGUUUAUAAACUGAAUUUACGCUCCAUAGCUCCCUUGGAGGGAAUUGAACUUGUGCUUCUGGAUUGCUAUUUGGGUUGAUAAUCACGUAUCUUAACCAUUGCACCGUCUUCACACCAGUAACUUUUUAAGUAGUGCCCCAUUCUAUACAUUAUGGGUUCUGAUUACUAAGAUCAUCUCCCUUUUACUUUGCAGGAUUGCCUUUGAAGAUGGCGGUGUUAUGUCAGGCAGAUGGCAUAACAAAGACCCAUGUACCCCCUUCUUUAUGAAAGCACUGAAGAUGUGUUAACCCUGUGGUCCAUGUUUCUGAAUGCAGUAAUGAGAAGACGGCAUGUCUCACCUUGACCGUGACCUUGAUAAUGGACGACACCUUCAUGAGGCACCACCAUUUGAAGAUGUUCUCAACGGUGGGGAGACUUGUUCCUCUGAUGGAUCUGGCAUAGUCUCCAACCUUUUGAUGCCUCUUGUUAUCCUGGUACCAUCAAACACAGGCUAUGCCCUGUGGUCCUAUAAUCCUGGACAAAGUUGGACAAGGUCGUCAGAGAUAUCACCCAUCCAUAGCAGUGCUUGGAGUGGUGUUGAACCUUCUCCUUGGAUACUGGCCACCAUUCCGGAAAAGGUGCUCCCACAAUACUGUUUGUCAAUGGCAUCUGAGCAACCAGAUCUUACCCUGGUCUAUUCCUUUCUGGGCAAUAGUAGGGCUACACACAGGAUGUGGGGGUAGCCUCAUCAUGUAGGUGGGUUUUUGUCCCCACAAGGACAAUGCAGCGUUCACUCCAACCCAUAGGGGCUUGGACAAGUGCAUCUAUAAAAGGCAGACUGGGUGAAAAUGACAACAAGCUGGUUUAUCCAUCUUGUAGCUUUGAUCACUGCUUUCCUCAACCAGUGUGCUAGCUAGGUGUGUCAUCUUAGAUGGCAUUACCACAAUCUGGAAUAUCCACCACUUUGCACUUGGAAUAAGAGCUAACAGAUCAGCCCUAGCUUGACAGAGAUGUUGGGAGCAGCAACAACUAUACUUCUAAAUAAGAUGCCAACCUGAUAAAGCUACUAAGUAGCAUAUGCAGCAAUGAAAUGCACCAAGCCUAGUGGCCUGACAGCCAAUUUGAUACAAUGGAGAGCAAUGGAAUCAGAGCUCUGCUGUCCACCUUGCCUGGUUAUGAAGUUAAAUGGUUAACAGGAGUCUAAGCAUGUCCCUCCCUCAGAGGUGGUGGGGCCAAGCAUUUGAAGGCUGAAACAUUUGCAACCAUCUUCAGCUACAGAUGCCAGGUGAAUGAUCUGACUUUGCCAACAAUCUCACCUUUGCAGAAGUCUAUCGUUAAUUAGUCUAGUUCAUUUCAUGCAGUUUCAAAGAGAUAAAGUAACAGUAUGGUAAGAAACAUCUUAGCUAAGUACUGAGGACUUGUACCAUGUCUCUUGUUUGGUCAAAAGAAAACAGUCAAUAUGUUUAUGCUGCUCCUGUGACUGCGACCAGGUUUAGAAUUCCAAGUGGCUUUCUAUCACGAGUGUAGAAUAUAUCAAUUAGCUGCAUGCGCCUUCAUGGUAUAAUUAAUCAGCUUUAUGUUUGACUUGACUGAGAAUUCAUAGCAUUUAAAUUUGCUUGUUGGCUACUUCCCAACUGCCAGUUCAAUCAUUAAAGCUUCAUGCUUCAACUGCAGAUGUUUUAGUGCAGGGGUUCCCAACCGGGGGUCCACAGACCCCACAGUUAAUGGUAGGAGUUCAUGGUAUAAGGAAGGUUUGAAAUCCCUGUUUUAGGGAGCCACUCUGAGUGGUUAAAGGUGACUUUAAGAUGUUUAAGUGUACUUCUCCUGUAUUAAUCUGGAACUCCUUCUCUGGAGUAGCAUUAAUAAAGAAAUAUAAUGUACCCAGCAUUAACAUUUGACCUCUAUUUCUAACAGUGGCAAAAACUGCAAUUAAAAAAGUGUUAAAUAUGCGUAGGCUUUUUACAAACCUUAUUCAUAAAUACUCCCACUGCUAGUAGCAAAGAUUUCGGUUCCAUGCUCUAAGAUGCAGUGUGUGGUUGCCUUCAAUUUGCAAGAAGACUAGUUGUGGGUACAAGUGAAGGAAAAAUUCUGAGACUUCAGAAGUGCCCAGUUCUCCAUUCUCUGUCACUUGCUGGUCAUGCCUGCAUCCUAAGAAUGAAUUUAAAAUAAACGCUGACAGUGAGGUGAGCUUUCUUUCGCUAAGAAUUGAUCAUCUGUUUUUGAAGAGUAGGCAUUCUUACAUCAAGGCUAAACAUGGAUGAAUUAAACUGUCAGCGUUUCCUGCAGACGUUGUCCAGGCUUCUCCUUAUGUCUUCCUUUUGAUAGGAUUGCUAGGAAAUGAAAAACUGUUCUGAUUAUAUGGAUAAUGGUAAAAUAAUUGGAUAUACAGUAGUUACAUUGCCUGCUAAAUGAGCCAAGGUUUUGUCUGUAUUAAAUCCCAGAUAGUUGU